rnacentral:rRNA from 1 species
GAUGAACGCUGGCGGCGUGCCUAAUACAUGCAAGUCGAGCGAACAGAUGAGGAGCUUGCUCCUCUGACGUUAGCGGCGGACGGGUGAGUAACACGUGGAUAACCUACCUAUAAGACUGGGAUAACUUCGGGAAACCGGAGCUAAUACCGGAUAAUAUAUUGAACCGCAUGGUUCAAUAGUGAAACACGGUUUUGCUGUCACUUAUAGAUGGAUCCGCGCCGCAUUAGCUAGUUGGUAAGGUAACGGCUUACCAAGGCAACGAUGCGUAGCCGACCUGAGAGGGUGAUCGGCCACACUGGAACUGAGACACGGUCCAGACUCCUACGGGAGGCAGCAGUAGGGAAUCUUCCGCAAUGGGCGAAAGCCUGACGGAGCAACGCCGCGUGAGUGAUGAAGGUCUUCGGAUCGUAAAACUCUGUUAUUAGGGAAGAACAAAUGUGUAAGUAACUAUGCACGUCUUGACGGUACCUAAUCAGAAAGCCACGGCUAACUACGUG